UCUCUCAGUGUACGCAGUUUAGAGCAACGUACUUGCAGUUUCUUUCGGAGGUUGAUUUAAGCGUUGAAACCUUGGAAAUAUAUGUCCAUUUACAAAAAAAAAAGAUCAUUAAAAGAAUAAUCACCAGUAAAGUCACUAAAGUUACCAAGACUGCUUUCUGGAGGUCUUUUCUGGAGCAGGCUAUCUGUUAAGCCUUUGCUCAAGCAACGCAAUUGGACUGGGAAGAAAUGCACUCAUGAGGAAGUUAUCUAGCAGGAUUUAACAGUGAAACCUUGUAAUUCACUUUAUAAGUAGCUUUUGAUUGUGUGAAUCACUGCCACUGCUGUAAUGUUAAUUUCCUGUGUUGUGUUUUGGACAUUUUCAGUGUUAUGUUAGUCCUGUACAUCAGUGUACCAGUGUGUAGACAUGCAGUAAGAGUAAUAACAUUUCUGUUUGAUUCCUCAUUUACUCCUGAACUUUACUGCACUGAGAUCCUCUACUUACACUGAAUAAUACUGCAGGAUCGAGUUUCUGCUUUUAAGAGAACACUUUAUUAAUCCCAUGUGGGAAAUUCCAGUGUUACAGCAGGAGAUAAGAGACAAUGAAUAGACAACAAUAUAGCAGCAGAAGGGGGUUUAAAACAUAAAUUAAAAGCAGAAAUAAAGUAAACAUUGUCUUGGUUAAUUUUUUUAUUAUUAUUUUGGUUCAGUAAAUGUUUUAGCUCCAGUACAUCAUUGUAUAAAAAUACAAAAUGGUAAAAAUGCUGACAUUGACAAAGGAACAAGAGAUUUCUCAGUGUAUUACUUGUACUUCAUAUGAUACAUUAUUGCUACCAGGUGAAAUAAUUCAGUGAACUGAUAAUGAUGCAUUUAUUUAAUUGAUCAGAAACAUUUCAUCCACAAAUCUCCUCACACAACUACAAUUAAAGUUCACACAGCUGAAAAUUCAAACAAAACUAUCAACAGUGUCUAACGGAGAUUGGAAGUCUACUCCUCGUAAUUCAACUAGAGCUAAUCUAACACAGAAAUAGAAGAAAACACAGCAGUACAAAUACAGUAGUGGUAGAACUAAUACUGAGAAGACACAAAACACAAUAUUAGUUCCCACCAUAUUUCAGAUAACAGUCAAUAAACUUGUUUUUAUAUUGCAUACAUACAAAGCCUCACUUACUUUAACUCCAGUAACACUGGGCUUUUCACCAAACACUCUGACUGUAGUCAUCUAUACAGAAAAUACAACCUACACUGGAAAAUAUUACACUGCCCAUUUUCAUUCUGAAAUAAUGCAGUUUAUACCAUAUACCAGUGCUUCUCAAACUUUUUUGGUCCUGCCCCCUUUAAACCCCUCCAAUUACUUUCACUAAAAGUCAUGAAAAUUGAAUAAUUUUUUAACUGAAAUUACAAAUUUAAAAAUUUUUGAAAUUACAG